AGAAGAAAAAGGAAGACCAAGAUAAUUUCGGUUUAAGUUUCCUACCUUUCACAUAGCCUCUCUUUUCACUGUCUACUUGCUCUCCAAGAGCUCCUAUCUCUGUUACUUCCAUGUCCACUUUCCUUCAGUUCAAAGUUCAAGACUGAGCACAGCAGAACGUGUGAGAGGCUGCUGCUUCCUCCUGGCACACAGCCGUGGCAGAGAGCAGCUUGGCUGACCAGCCUUUCAAUGUUUUGGUGGAUGGGAGUCUCCCAUCCUUGGUUCUUGACUCUGCUGUUAUGUUGCUGACUUCUGCACUAUCAAGUUCCUGAUGGCAAUGUACCUUUGGGUCCAUCUUCCACACCUUUGUGAAAGGAACCUCACUCACAAAUUCAUAACAGGUGGGGAAGGUGACCUCUUCCAAUCCCCCCCU
rnacentral:lncRNA from 1 species